rnacentral:rRNA from 1 species
GAUCCUGGCUCAGGAUGAACGCUGGUGGCGUGCCUAAUACAUGCAAGUCGAACGCUGGAGAUCUAGCUUGCUAGAUCGAAGGAGUGGCGAACGGGUGAGUAAUACAUAAGCAACCUACCCACGAAGACUGGGAUAAUCUCUGGAAACGGGGACUAAUACCGGAUAGGUAAUCGGAAGGCAUCUUCUGGUUAUUAAAGGUUAAAAACACUGGUGGAUGGGCUUAUGGCGCAUUAGUUAGUUGGUGAGG